GCCCUCUGGCGAUGCCACAGAAACGCUACGACGCACAAUGAGGGAGGGUGUGGCACGUGGCAGAGGCACCGCCGAAAUGUACAUCUUGCGCGGUGCAAAUCACAUGGUCUUUU
rnacentral:ribozyme from 1 species